CCCAAACAAAGACAGCAGUAGGCACUCAAAAGGUCAAAAUCUGUCAUGUGUGAAGGCAUCUGAUUUUUAAGUUCUUCUCUCUUCAGAUGAACAAUCCAGGUGGGAAAGCUAGGGGAAAUCUCUAAUAUAUACCUUAAUAACUUAACAGAGAGAAUAUUCAGCACUGGUGCUGCUGCUGGCCACCAGCCUGUUCCCAUCUGGGGUCUUCCUUUAAAAUAAUAACACAGAUCUAUGUAAUAAUUGGUUUCUCACAUACAAUACUGAUCUCCUGAGCAAGCAAAGAAUGUUUUGCAUCAUCAAACCUUGUCAAUUUUCCUCUCCCAUAAAAUGUGUCAGAAUUCCUUUGGCUUGGGCUGGAGCUAUGCUCAAAAAUCCAAGCCAGUCUUUAAAAUGUAAGGGAAACUGGUGCAUGCACAAACUGCACUGUGUUACUGUAUUCAUAGGAGGAGGAGGAAUCGUAGGGAAGGGAGCUUCAGCUGUGACCAAGGAGACCUGCAGGGCUAUGCCCGGCCCUGCCUUGUUGCAGACACAAAGCACACAUCUGGUGUUCUGUAUCAUUCAAACCAACUGGGUACUUCUUGGAUUUUCUGAACUGUCACUCCAUGUGUUCACCACACCUAAAACCCAACUCACACAUUCAAUCCCACAACACAUUUCUCAUGACUUCCACCCUCAUAAUCCGGCUGGGUAGGUAUUAACCAAGCAAUCUUUUACACUCAAGGAUAAGUUUACACAACAUAGCCCUGCAGUUAUCAGUAACAUAGCUCCAGGGAGUUACCUGCUCACUGUUGCCUUUAAAGCUCUCUCUGCACAUUCACAUCACGACUCUCUCCUCAGAAGCACAUUGCCUGCUUUCAGAUUUUCUUCACAUUCCCUCUAGUUUGCUCCCAUUCUGUUAUAUACUCACUACUCUAGAGGGAGAGAUGUCAGCCACAUGAUUGUUAGUUUUUUUCUCAACAGUCAGGAGGUGAAAUGGAUGAAAAGUGGAGAACUGAUGGGCAAUACAAACUUCUGCUUUGAAACUCAAGGUGGGCAUGGAAAAAAAAAGACUUUUGCACCAAGUACAGAGACCAAAAUUUUGGCUUGCCCAUCUCUGUUGAAGGAGCAGUGAUCUCAGCUGUCUACAGUGGUGCAGCUCUGAAGGGAGCAUGCAUAUUCUGCUGCCUGGGAAACCAUGAACACACCUCUGCAGACUGGGAAAGAACAUCACCUAUAAGAAGACCCCUAUCUAGCAGAAAAAACACAGGAUGGAAAAAGUAGCAGCUAUACAAGCAUACGUCUCAGCAAGGAGUUGCGCUAAGUGGAGAAUAAAGAAUAAAUCUGACUUUCUGCCCCUUGACAAGAAAUAAAGUGUAGGAAAUGUGAGAAC